rnacentral:rRNA from 1 species
UACGUAGGUGGCAAGCGUGGUCCGGAAUUAUUGGGCGUAAAGCGCGCGCAGGCGGUCCUUUAAGUCUGAUGUGAAAGCCCACGGCUCAACCGUGGAGGGUCAUUGGAAACUGGGGAACUUGAGUGCAGGAGAGAAGAGUGGAAUUCCACGUGUAGCGGUGAAAUGCGUAGAGAUGUGGAGGAACACCAGUGGCGAAGGCGGCUUUCUGGUCUGUAACAGACGCUGAGGCGCGAAAGCGUGGGGAGCAAACAGG